GCAGCCCGAAGAACCAGGGCUGCAUGCUAAGUGGCCGGAGGCAGCAGUACGACUCAGGACAGACCCAGGAGGGAGGACUGGACCUGUGUGCAGCCAGGAGAACCCAGAGGCUGGCCCUGCCCGGGGACGUGAUGGCUGGAGCCCCUUCCCCCAACAGCUUCUUAGAGACCACGAAGGAGAGAUCAAGGCCAUGACGGCAACCUCAGCUCCCAUAUCCCCAAGGACGGAACCUCCAUCAGAACUUCUCUUCACGAGAAAAAGAAAACCUUUGUGGAUUCGAGCCACUGUAGCUGCCUCUCUGUUAUUAGCAGUAGAAUGAAAUUCCUACCUGGUACAACCACUACACGACGGCCUGUGGGAUGUAUCCAGCUGAAUAACACGAGUCUCUCAGGCUCAGUGCGUCUGGGGCUGGGCCCUACCAUCUUUCUGUCAACGAACUUCUUACUGGGGAACCCACAUAUCCGGGGGAAAGAGAACUAACAGUACCAGAGCUGCACCUGCUCACGCACCGACCACCUUUCUAUUUGUCCAGCCACCCCUGUAUCUGUCUGUCUGUCUGUCCAUCCAUCCAACAUCCAUCUAUCCACCCGUUUGUGUGCAUGCAUGUAUCCGACGGACUUUAAUCAAGCAUCUUCUGAGUACUGGGCCCUCUGCUAGACACAGGAGCUAGAGAUGUGAAGAAUAUAUUUUAUUUCAUGCCCAUUUGCUUCUAGAUGAGCAGAAUGUUCGGAAGCUGGAAACAAUGACUGUCCCCACAGAGGGAGAUUAGGCAUCCGGAAACACGGGCAUUUAUUCCUUUCGAACCCUUUGAGUUUUGCCUCAUGCGUAU
rnacentral:lncRNA from 1 species